rnacentral:ribozyme from 1 species
UGCCCAGCAAUUGCUAUCCCUACCUUCUCGUGGUACAGGCCGGAAACUAUGAGCAACUUUAGGGAAGA